GAACAUUAGGUGUUGAGAUUUGGCAAAUGAAUUGCAUGCAUUUUUGCAUGCAAUUAGGCUAUAAAUAGAGGUGUUUUCAAAUGUUGAAGAACUUUUGCCUCUUUUAUCAUUUUCAUCAUCUCAACAAAAGAAAAAAAAAAAACUUCCAAUCUCAUUUUAUCUCCAUUAUUUUCUACACCAAAAUUGGGUCCCACAACCCAGUUCUUUGUCUAGAGGAUAGCAGUUGAGUACUAGUGGUGGUCUCGAGUAGAAUUGGUAAGAAGACAUCAAACCUUUUGAAAGCUUCAAAGGUAAUACUUCUUAAAACCCUAAUUUGAUUAGUUUAUGGUUACAUGUUAAUUGUGGCAAUUAGGGUAGAAAUUCGAUUCUUUUUCCGCUGUGCAUGACUUAGUUCUAUCAUGUGGUAUCAGAGCAUGCUUCAUUUUUACCCAAUUGCAUGUGGUGGGUUCAUAUUUAUUAGAUAAAUUUUGGUUUGAACUAAAAUGGAUAUAUUAUGAUUUUGGCUCUAGAUUAAGUGUUUUUGUUCUAAUUAUUGUAAUUAGCCUUGUUAAUGGAUUAUUUUUAUUGUUGCAAAGUGUUUGUAAUUUUUAAAAAAAUAAAAAAAGUCAUUAGAGUUGAAGCUAGGCUGUAAUUGGUUCAACCGGGUGAGAGAAUUGAAAAAAAUGAAGAAAAGAAGGUCACAGACCCGAAAACCCGGCCUUGACCCGCUUCGCGACCCGCACGCGCCCUCCUGCAUCCGCACGCGCCCGCGCGCCCUCCUGCGCCCGCGCGCCUGCCUUCGCCCGACCCGUGUGCGCCUGGGCCGGUUCAAGCCAAUAAAUUUGGUUUUUGGGCCGGUUCAAGCGAUUUCGGUUGGUUUUUCAGCCGGUUCGAAGUUUUUGGAAGUGGUUCUGUACUACACCAAAUUAAUUAUGUAAUAAUUUAGUACUUAGCUUAAGUUAGGAGCCAAAAAAUCAGUCCAUUUUAGGGUGUUUUUUUUAUUUGUGCAUGUGAUGUAUGAUUAAAUUACUUUAAAUUUGUAUGUGCAUUUUGAAUGUCAUAUAGAUUUAAAAUCCCACCAUAGGUUAACAUGUUCAUGCAUUAAAAUG
rnacentral:lncRNA from 1 species